UACGAAGGGUGCUAGCGUUGCUCGGAAUUACUGGGCGUAAAGCGCACGUAGGCGGUCUUUUAAGUCGGGGGUGAAAUCCUGGAGCUCAACUCCAGAACUGCCUUCGAUACUGGAAGACUUGAGUCCGGGAGAGGUGAGUGGAACUGCGAGUGUAGAGGUGAAAUUCGUAGAGAUCGGGAGGAACACCAGUGGCGAAGGCGGCUACCUGGACCAGCACUGACACUGAAGCACGAAAGCGUGGGGAGCAAACAGG
rnacentral:rRNA from 1 species